GAAUAUCAGGUGUGUAACAGAGGGUUCGAUCCUUGACUCAGAUUGAACGCUGGCGGGAUGCUUUACAUGCAAGUCGAACGGCAGCACGGACUUCAGGUCUGGUAUUGAGUGGCGAGCCGGGUGAGUAAUGUAUCGGAACGUGCCUGAAAUAGCGGGGGAUAACUACGCGAAAGCGUAGCUAAUACCGCAUACGCCCUUCAGGGAAGCGGGGACCUUCGGGCCUCGCACUAUUAGAGCGGCCGAUAUCGGAUUAGCUAGUUGGUAGGGUAACGGCUCACCAAGGCGACGAUCCAUAUGCAGCUGGUUUGAGAGGACGACCAGCCACACUGGGGACUGAGACACGGCCCAGACUCCUACGGGAGGCGGCAGUGGGGAAUUUUGGACAAUGGGGAAACCCUGAUCCAGCCAUCCCGCGUGUGCGAUGAAGGCCUUCCAGGUUGUAAAGCCGCUUUUGGCGGGAAAGAAACGGCACGGGAUAAUACCCCGUGCAACUGACGGUACCUGCAGAAUAAGCACCGGCUAACUACGUGCCAGCGACCGCGGUAAUACGUAGGGUGCAAGCGUUAAUCAGGAAUUACUGGGCGUAAAGCAUGCGCGAACGGUUCGGAAAAGAUGUGAAAUCCCAGAGCUUAACUUUGUUCACGUUUUUAACUACCAAAUGAAAUUAUUGUCAGAGGAGGUGGAAUUCCGCGUGUAGCAGUGAAAUGCGUAGAUAUGCGGAGGAACACCGAUGGCGAAGGCAGCCUCCUGGGAUAACACCGAACGCUCAUGCACACAGCGUGGAAGCAAACAGGAUUAGAUACCUGGUAGUCCGCGCCUAAACGAUGUCAACUAGCUGGUGGGCGCUAAGGCGCGGUAGCGCAGCUAACGUGAAGAGUUGACCGCCUGGGAGAGUACGGUCGCAAGAUUAAAACUCAAAGGAAUUGACGGGGACCCGCACAGAAAAGCGGUGGAUGAUGUGGAUUAAUUCGAUGCAACGCGAAGCCUUACCUACCCUUGACAUGUCUGGAAUCCCGAAGAGAUUUAGGAGUGCUCGCAAGAGAACCGGAGAACCUGGAGUGCUGCAUGGCUGUCGUCAGCUCGUGUCGUGAGAUGUUGGGUUAAGUCCCCGCAACCGAAGCGCAACCCUUGUCAUUAGUUGCUACGAAGAACGCUCUAAUGAGACUGCCGGUGACAAACCGGAGGAAGGUGGGGAUGACGUCAGGUCCUCAUGGCCCUUAUGGGUAGAACUCACCACGUCAUACAAUGGUCAGGACAGAGGUCGCCAACCCGCGAGGAGCCAAUCCCAGAAACCUGUAGUCCGGAUCGCAGUCUGCAACACAUGCGUGAAAGUCGGAAUCGCUAGUAAUCGCGGAUCAGCAUGUCGCGGUGAAUACACGUUCCCGGGUCUUGCCACCUGCCGCCGUGCACAUGGGGGUGGGUUUUGCAGAAGUAGUUAGCCUAACCGUAAGGAGGGCGAUUACCACGGUAGGAUUCAUGACUGGGGUGAAGUCGUAACAAGGCAA
rnacentral:rRNA from 1 species